UACAGAGGUCUCAAGCGUUGUUCGGAUUCAUUGGGCGUAAAGGGUGCGUAGGCGGCGCGGUAAGUCGGGUGUGAAAUCCUGGAGCUCAACUCCAGAACUGCCUUCGAUACUGGAGAGCUCGAGUCCGGGAGAGGUGAGUGGAACUGCGAGUGUAGAGGUGAAAUUCGUAGAUAUUCGCAAGAACACCAGUGGCGAAGGCGGCUCACUGGCCCGGUACUGACGCUGAGGUGCGAAAGCGUGGGGAGCAAACAGGG
rnacentral:rRNA from 1 species